CAGGAAACAACGAAGGAAGGAGCAGCGAAAAAAAAGGAUCUGCCUGUGACAGCCGCCCCUAUCUGUUCCCCAGUCCACGGCGUAGAUGCGCAUCCUUCUCUGAUCGCCGGGACCGAGACGCUGGGCUGCCGUAGCGCGUAGCAGCCGCGGGAGGCGGAACGCAGUCGCUGGGCCGCUGCUGCAGGGAGAACUGGUUGCCGGGCCGCCGGCGACCAGAUCCAUGGCGCCCACGGAGGACUGACUUGGUGACUGGAAUUUGGUCUUGAUGUCUGAUGGUGGUAAAAAGGCCAUUGGAGAGCAACAUGAGUUCGAGGAAGAGCUCCACUACUGGAGAAAAUGCGCAUCACUUUUGCUCCAAGGACACUACCAAAGGGAAUGCCUAUGCUUCCGAAAAUGGAUGAACAAAAGAGGGGUUCGCAUGAUUCAAACUAUAAGUCGAGGAACAAGAAAGUUUAAGGUAGUGAAAGGAGUUGAGGCCAUGGGAUCUCUCAUGUUGGAGCUACACAAUCUAUGAUUGAAUAAUGUUCUUUAUGUACCUAGCUUAAGUAGGAAUUUCAUUUCCGUUUCUUGUUUAGACGAUGACAUGUACAAGUGCAUGUUUGGCAAUGGACGUUUUAAAUAAGUUUAAUAAGAAUGUUGGCCUCGGUGU